GGAAUAAAAGAUUAGUACCAGCAAGAGAGCACAAAUAAGCAACAAAACACUGUGUGAAUGGGAUGAAGAUACAUAUAUGUUGGGCUUCUUUCGUUUUCCAAAUUACAAAGCAGAAGGACUUUUGGGCCCUGACUCUACAAACACCUAUACAUAUGCUCCCCAUGAGACUUUGGGGAACCCACUGAGGACCUACUCCAUGCCAGCAUCACAGCAAAGGGAGAAGAAUGCAAAGCUGCAUGUGUUUCAAAGAUCACAGGAUCUUCUCCUUCCCAGAGACUAGCAAAGAUUAGAAGGCAAAAAAAUGCACUCACAAUGAAAUGUUCUCUGAGCUCAUGCUGUACUCCCACACUGACAGAGCACAGAUGAAUGCAUGGAGGCAGACAAUGUCAGACAAUGUCAGGAAAGCACAAAAUGACCAGGAGGAGAAGUGGCGGGCUGAAGAGAGUAAGUGGCAGGCUGAAGAGAGGGCUGAAGCUGAAAGGUGGCGGCAGCGUGAUGAGAGGAGGCAGGAUUCAAUGCUGAAGCUGCUGGAGCAUCAAACUAAUAUGCUCCAGCGUAUGGUUGAGCUGCAGGAAAGGCAGCAGGAGCACAGACCGCCACUACAGCCCCUGUGUAACCAACCGCCCUCCUCCCAAGUUCCAUAGUCUCCUCACCCAGAUGCCCAAGAACGCGGUAGGGGGGCCUCUGGCCAUCCAGCCACUCCACCCCAGAGGAUUGCCCAAGCAACAGAAGGCUGGCAUUCCAUAAGUUUUCAAGUUUUAAACUUUUAAAGUGCUGUGUGGCCUUGUCCUUCCCUCCUCCACCACCCCUCCUGGUGCUUCUCUCCUCCACCACCCCUCCUGG